UAUAGCUCUAAAAUUUACCUCACAACAGCUGAUGGAAUGGAAAAUAUUGAUGGUUUCCAAGACCGUGUAGAAAGCAAAUCCUGCACUAGUGAGGAAGUAUCCAAGAUUAUUGGCUGGCAAUUGUGUUCUGAAAUGUCUUACCCUGACUCAACCAGUAGUUUGCCUUUCCCACUUUCUGGGCCCGUGAAAGCAUCUGUAACAUUAACAAAGCAAGAUAGAGGUCUCCAGCAGUACCUGAUGGAAGCAGCUUAUAAUUAUGUUUCUCAGGAAGAUUCUUGGAUACCAAAUGAAGCUGUCGUUCAUUUCUUUUUUGGGACUCCAAAGUCAGACCUGAAACGGGAUGUUGGUAUUGAGCUAAAUGUUAAUGUUCCACAGAAGAAAUUCCGAAUUCAGUUCAUACAACCGAAGAAAAAAAUCCAAAUGGAUGGAAAAAUUGAGUUCUCUAAGAAUUCACGAAUUGGACACCUGGAGUUGAUACUAGAUGAUCAAGAUGUAUAUUACAUUAAGGUAGGUCCUCAGACCCAAAAUUUCGUAAUGCAAAUGAAUACAUAAAUAGAGGAAGGAUAAAAAAUAGCU
rnacentral:lncRNA from 1 species